rnacentral:rRNA from 1 species
UACGGGAGGCAGCAGUGGGGAAUAUUGCACAAUGGGCGAAAGCCUGAUGCAGCUAUGCCUCGUGUAUGAAGAAGGCCUUAGGGUUGUAAAGUACUUUCAUCGGGGAGGAAAAACAAAACUAAUAAUUUUAUUUCUUGACGUUACCCGAAAAAGAAGCACCGGCUAACUCCGUGCCAGCAGCCGCGGUAAUACGGAGGGUGCUAGCGUUAAUCAGAAUUACUGGGCGUAAAGAGCACGUAGGUGGUUUUUUUAAGUCAGAUGUGAAAUCCCUGGGCUUAACCUAGGAACUGCAUUUUGAAACUGAAAUACUAGAGUAUCGUAGAGGGAGGUAGAAUUCUAGGUGUAGCGGUGAAAUGCGUAGAUAUCUGGAGGAAUACCUGUGGCGAAAGCGGCCUCCUAAACGAAUACUGACACUGAGGUGCGAAAGCGUGGGGAGCAAACAGGGAUUAGAUACC